rnacentral:rRNA from 1 species
AUGAACGCUAGCUACAGGCUUAACACAUGCAAGUCGAGGGGCAGCAUGACCUAGCAAUAGGUUGAUGGCGACCGGCGCACGGGUGAGUAACACGUAUCCAACCUACCGGUUAUUCUGGGAUAGCCUUUCGAAAGAAAGAUUAAUACCGGAUAGUAUAACGAGAAGGCAUCUUUUUGUUAUUAAAGAAUUUCGAUAACCGAUGGGGAUGCGUUCCAUUAGUUUGUUGGCGGGGUAACGGCCCACCAAGACAUCGAUGGAUAGGGGUUCUGAGAGGAAGGUCCCCCACAUUGGAACUGAGACACGGUCCAAACUCCUACGGGAGGCAGCAGUGAGGAAUAUUGGUCAAUGGACGAGAGUCUGAACCAGCCAAGUAGCGUGAAGGAUGACUGCCCUAUGGGUUGUAAACUUCUUUUAUAUGGGAAUAAAGUGAGCCACGUGUGGCUUUUUGUAUGUACCAUACGAAUAAGGAUCGGCUAACUCCGUGCCAGCAGCCGCGGUAAUACGGAGGAUCCGAGCGUUAUCCGGAUUUAUUGGGUUUAAAGGGAGCGUAGGCGGACUAUUAAGUCAGCUGUGAAAGUUUGCGGCUCAACCGUAAAAUUGCAGUUGAUACUGGUCGUCUUGAGUGCAGUAGAGGUAGGCGGAAUUCGUGGUGUAGCGGUGAAAUGCUUAGAUAUCACGAAGAACUCCGAUUGCGAAGGCAGCUUACUGGACUGUAACUGACGCUGAUGCUCGAAAGUGUGGGUAUCAAACAGGAUUAGAUACCCUGGUAGUCCACACAGUAAACGAUGAAUACUCGCUGUUUGCGAUAUACAGCAAGCGGCCAAGCGAAAGCAUUAAGUAUUCCACCUGGGGAGUACGCCGGCAACGGUGAAACUCAAAGGAAUUGACGGGGGCCCGCACAAGCGGUGGAGCAUGUGGUUUAAUUCGAAGCAACGCGAAGAACCUUACCAGGUCUUGACAUCGAUCUAAAGGCUCCAGAGAUGGAGAGAUAGCUAUAGAGAAGACAGGUGGUGCAUGGUUGUCGUCAGCUCGUGCCGUGAGGUGUCGGCUUAAGUGCCAUAACGAGCGCAACCCUUAUCUUUAGUUACUAACAGGUCAUGCUGAGGACUCUAGAGAGACUGCCGUCGUAAGAUGUGAGGAAGGUGGGGAUGACGUCAAAUCAGCACGGCCCUUACGUCCGGGGCUACACACGUGUUACAAUGGGGGGUACAGAAGGCAGCUACACAGCGAUGUGAUGCUAAUCCCAAAAGCCUCUCUCAGUUCGGAUUGGAGUCUGCAACCCGACUCCAUGAAGCUGGAUUCGCUAGUAAUCGCGCAUCAGCCACGGCGCGGUGAAUACGUUCCCGGGCCUUGUACACACCGCCCGUCAAGCCAUGAAAGCCGGGGGUACCUGAAGUCCGUAACCGUAAGGAGCGGCCUAGGGUAAAACUGGUAAUUGGGGCU